rnacentral:other from 1 species
CGCGAGCUGCCCGGCUCGUCAGGACGGAUUUCCCCGGGGCCUUAAGUUCUCGUUCGGGAGCUGCCUCUGUUCUGGACCGUGGUCCGUUUCACGCGGCGCCCACCUGGCCGUUGUGGUCCAGGGCGAAACAGUGUCCAACGGCCGGCGCGGCGCCUAU